GACCAACCUACCUAUACGAGGAGGGAACGUAACCGGACGAAGUCGGACUAAUACCGCAUAAACAGGGGCACCGCAUGGUGAUAUUUGUUAAAGAAAUUCGCUGAUAGAUGGGCAUGCGUUCCAUUAGGUAGUUGGUGAGGUAACGGCUCACCAAGCCGACGAUGGAUAGGGAACUGAGAGGUUGGUCCCCCACACUGGUACCGAGACACGGACCAGACUCCUACGGGAGGCAGCAGUGAGGAAUAUUGGUCAAUGGGCGGGAGCCUGAACCAGCCAAGUCGCGUGAAAGGAAGAAGGAUCUAUGGUUCGUAAACUUCUUUUGCAGGGGAAUAAAGUGCAGGACGUGUCCUGUUUUGUAUGUACCCUGAGAAUAAGGAUCGGCUAACUCCGUGCCAGCAGCGGC
rnacentral:rRNA from 1 species